rnacentral:lncRNA from 1 species
AAUCCAGAAGCAUUCAUUUCAACUCCGUCCUGCGGGCAUUUCAACUUUUCAGAUACUGCUUCACCAUCUCCUUUACCUUCUUCGAUAUUAGUAGAUAUUUUUGCAUCUACUCCGCGUGUCACUUCUUUAGAAGUGGGUUCAGAUUUACUGUUACCAUCUUGCGUUUUAUCUUUGUUCUCAUUCUCAUUCUCUUCCUCAGAUUUUCCAGCCUCUUCCAUAACAUCUUUACUAUCCUCUGUUCCUUCAGGGGCUGUCUCCGAUUCUUUGUUAUCAUCCUUUGAAGCUGAUGAUUUUCUGCCUCGUUUUUUUGGAGGUUCACUAUCUGCUGUCGGCAUUGCUUUUACCUUCUCGCUAAUCCUUG